GAUGUACUCCCUCCGUUCGGAAUUACUUGUCGCAGAAAUAGAUGUAUCUAGAUGUAUUUUAGUUCUAGAUACAUCCAUUUCUGAGACAAGUAAUUCUGAACGGAGGGAGUACAUA
rnacentral:pre_miRNA from 1 species